rnacentral:rRNA from 1 species
UACGUAGGUGGCAAGCGUUGUCCGGAUUUACUGGGUGUAAAGGGCGUGCAGCCGGGAAGACAAGUCAGAUGUGAAAUCCCGCGGCUCAACCGCGGAACUGCAUUUGAAACUGUUUUUCUUGAGUACCGGAGAGGUCAUCGGAAUUCCUUGUGUAGCGGUGAAAUGCGUAGAUAUAAGGAAGAACACCAGUGGCAAAGGCGGAUGACUGGACGGCAACUGACGGUGAGGCGCGAAAGCGUGGGGAGCAAACAGG